AGUCAACGCUGGCGGCGUGCCUAACACAUGCAAGUCGAACGCGAAAGGGGCUUCGGCCCUGAGUAGAGUGGCAAACGGGUGAGUAACACGUGGGUGACCUACCUUCAAGUGGGGGAUAACGUUCCGAAAGGAACGCUAAUACCGCAUAUUGUCCCGUCUUUAGACAGACGACGAUGAAAGCCGGGGAUCGCAAGACCUGGCGCUAGGAGAGGGGCCCGCGUCCGAUUAGCUAGUUGGUGAGGAACGGCUCACCAAGGCGACGAUCGGUAGCCGGCCUGAGAGGGCGGAC
rnacentral:rRNA from 1 species